rnacentral:lncRNA from 1 species
GCCUGGAGAACUUGAAAAUGAAAAAGGAUGAUCAACUUUCUGAAGGUAUACUCAUAAUAGAAUCUAACCUAAUAUUUUUUUUUACUUCUAGUUGGGCGUUGGAUUCUGGUUCUAAUGCUCAUAUAUAUACUUCAAUCUAGGAUCUAAUAGGAAGUAGGAGGUUAAGGGAAGGUAACAUGAUCAUUCGAAUUGGUAAUGGA